GGGCCCGUAGCUCAGGGGUAAGAGCGGGCGGCUCAUAACCGCUUGGUCAGGGGUUCGAUCCCCCUCGGGCCCAUCA
rnacentral:tRNA from 1 species